AAGGAAUUUUAGAAAUUAAUACUCGAACAACGUCUCUGCUUCGCCUUCUCUCCCAUACAAAACCAAAACUAUUCAUAUCAUAGCCAGUUUCAAUGCCUCUAUUUCUUUGUUAUUCAAUUUACUUAUUUGAUUGUUACUUGCAUCUAUUCUUGUUUUAUAUUUGGAUUUUCUUUUAAUCAGUUUCAACUCAAAUGAGGUUUUGAGCUUAAGGAUCAGAUUGAAAGCUUUAAUUUUGAAAGCUUUUUAUGGCCUAUUGAACAGCUUAAAUGCGGCUGGGAAUUCAGUGAUCCAAUUGAAGGAUUCAAUUUUGGAAGCUCUUUAUCACCUACUGAACAGAUUUGGGUUCUUGUAUAGAUAUGCUCUCGGGAAUGCCGAGAUUAUCCAACAACUAGUUCUGGUGGGUGGAGUUAGUUACUCGUAGGUUUUACUUGAGUUCCAAGGGCUCCUCUUUAAAUGGGUUCCCUACCUUACAAAAAGAAAGAUAUGUUUAUGUAUGUAUGUAAAUGUGCUAGCUUAAGGGCUCAUUGAACUUAGGAGCUAGCUUCUAGAUACACUUAAUUUGGAAUUAUUAAGAAGAGUUAGUUAAG